CAAAGUGAGAAACAAAACAAGGUUAUGUAUAGGAGAUGCUUCUGAAACAUGGAGAUGGAUGAAAGCGGAGAAGAAUUUGAAGACCGAUGCCG